CGCAUUUAUUAGAUAAAAAGCCAAUGCAUGCUUUUACAGUAUGGAAAUUGGUGAUUUAUAAUAACUUGGCAAAUCGCAAAGUGAAAACAGGCGAUAAAUCAUUCAAGUUUCUGACCUAUCCCUUUUCGACGGUAUGGUAUUGGCUUACCGUGGCAGUGACGGUUAACGGGGGAUUAGGGUUCGAUUCCGGAGAGGGAGCCUGAGAAACGGCUACCACAUCUAAGGAAGGCAGCAGGCGCGCAAAUUACCCAAUUCUAACAGUUUGAGAGAGGUAGUACCAAGAAAUAACAAUACAAGGCAAUUAAAAUGCUUUGUAAUUGGAAUGAUAGAAAUUUAAACCCUUUUUGUAGUAUCAAUUGGAGGGCAAGUCUGGUGCCAGCAGCCGCGGUAAUUCCAGCUCCAAUAACGUAUAUUAAAAUUGUUGCAGUUAAAAAGCUCGUAGUUGAAGUUCUGCUAAAAGUAACCGGUCUGCUUUUAAUAAAAGUGGUAUCUUGGUGUGUAUUUAGCAAUGAUGUCCUUUGAAGUGUUUUUUACUUUAUUGGAGUAAAGCAUAUUCAGGACUUUUACUUUGAGAAAAUUAGAGUGUUUCUAGCAGGCCGACG
rnacentral:rRNA from 1 species